GUAAUCUUGACACUUUAUGACGCUUUUGAGUUACGAGAGGUGACAUUACAACGUCAGCAUGAACCCACAGAGCCUUAUAAGCGACUGUCUCAUUCAUAUUUUUACCUUUCUCCAGGAGGAAGAUCUUAUCAGCGUUUCCGGUGUGUGCAAGCACUGGCACCAUGCUGCCGAGGCUCAGUGGUUAUGGAGGAAGAUGUGCCUACAACGAUGGGGGUUUUGCAGCCAGGCUGUGUUGGCUAGCCCACUCGUCAAUCACUCUUGGAAGACAUACUUCCUUCGACGGUCCCAUUUGGAGACGAAAAUGAAGGAAGGUCGAACUGGGGGAUAUACCUGCAAAAGUCUUCGAGGCCACACAGGGGGCGUCGUGGGCUUGGUUUACCUGAAGGGGAACUCACCUGUUAAUCCUGAUCUGUGGAGCACAUCCACCACUGUCUGCAGUGCUUCUACUGAUGGUACAGUCCGAGCGUGGAACAUCCAAAAUGGUGAACUACUGUGGUGCAGUGGCAAACAGUCACCUUUAUCAAGCAUCAUACGUGAUGAGCGGAGUGAUUUUGUCAUCACAGCAGACUGCACCGGUCUCAUCAAGGUCUGGCAAGGUCAAACUGGGCAGGAGGUGGCGUCCUAUUCUUCUGCAUUCACGCACUGUACGUUAGUGCAGUACAAUAAGGAGAAUGAUUGGUUUCUAUCAGUUGGGACAAAUCAGGGGUCGUUGUGUACACUAGCUGGAUUGGCUCUGACAAAAAAAUCUAGUAUAGUGGUAUGUGACAGUUUUAAGGUCAACAUAGUCCUGGUGUCACCUGACAAGAAAUGGAUCGCGGCUGGAUCCAAGGACAUGGUUGAUUUAAGUCCAAAGGUGAUUUACACUGAGAGUUUGACCUCUCCAAGUGAGGACGAAGAUCCCCUGUGUCAGUUAGUACCGGUCACGGGAUGCCAUGCUGCUGUUUUCAUCCCCACACAGUCUGCCAGACUGGCCACGGUCCACCGCAAAGAGCGGACCGUCAACAAAGCCCUCACUGUCUUCGAUGUCAGCGUUAAAAAGUCAAAGUACAAGUCCCAGAUCCAAGUCCAGCAGGUGGAGUCCUUCCCCUUGCCACUGAAUAUCACCUCCUCCGACAUUCUUCUUGAGGCAAAAGACAGCAACUGCAUUGUUAUGGCAGCUGACCAUCAUCUGUGGGUGUACUCUCUGAAAGGCAUCUUGCUUGCCAGCUUUGAAGAGCACAUCAUGCCAAUUACUUCUAUAUGCGUGGAUAGCUUUCGUGUGGUAACGGCGUCCCAGGACCUCUCCUUACGUGUGCUGACAUGGAGACAUGACAGAGAUCAGGGGUUGACCUUGGAUAGUCGAUACCACUUAUUAGGAGGUUCUCACUCUAUGUCCAGAGGGUUCAGCCACGUCUCCUGUGACUACUCAAGCAUUGUUGGUUCAGUUCAAGGGAAGGAUGGCAAAGACGUUUUAAAAGCUUAUACGUUCACAUCAUGAGGUGUUGCAUUCACUGUAUACAUCAUGCGUGCUUUUAUUAUGAGGUUCCUUGGUUAUUAAGGCAGAACAUUACAUAAAAAGACUGUUCUUCUUUGGUGUACCUCAAUAUUUGUAUUCAUCUCACAACAUCAGCAAUUGCAUAAUAAAUAUCUUCAUCAAAAGGCACUUGGUGUCUCCACAGUGAUCUGCGGUAUUUACACUAAAGAGGAAGAAGACUCUGUUGGCUCUUCUGAUUUGGUGGCAACACAUCUCAUGUCCUCAAGGACACAUCUUAAGACGAAAAGAUCUACCGCCAGGGCCUGUGCCACCAGCAGCCUCCGUGCGUCCAAACACAACUCGGACUGCAGGGUGAUGAAGGGCACCUCUGACUGCUCCUCCUCUUGACACAGGGAGUUCCUCUCAUUUUCUUUUAACGCUUCCCUCUGCUCUGCCUUUAGCCUGGACAGCAUGCUACCUUGUUGUAGGAGUCCAUUGUUUCGCAUGGACUCACAGCGUUGGAUGGGUUUUUUCUUCAUUUUCUUCAACAGAAUGGAUCCAUCCUUUUCAACAUUCUUGACUUGCCAUAGUGAUCCGCUGGAGGUGUAAGAUAUUUCAGAUGCGUUACAACUCCAGCUCUGGCAAUUGGCUGCAGGUAGAGCGUUGUCUGAAGAGGAAAUGGACCUGGCUACGUUUCCCUGUGAGAGUGAGCCCAACGGUUCCCUGAGGAGGUUAAGCUGUGAGCCCAGACGUUUUAAAUCAGACUCACUGUAACUAAGACUUUUACGAUGGUAGAAGAUGGGUGGCUCAUUAAAAUGUCUCGGUAAGGUCGGGGAACCUGGUAAUCGAGGCUCCUUAGCGCAAAAGUCAGGUCCAAGCUUUUCAAUGAUGCUCAUUGUCAUUUCAAUAUCAUGGAUAUCCGGUGCCUCCAAAAUGUCCUCUUCAAUCACUUGUCGGUUCUCUGCAAUGUCCAAUAGCAGCCGCGACACAAGUUGGACUAUCUUUGGUAGGUGCUUCAGUUCUUUACGCUCAUGGCCAUGCAGGAUGUGUCUCUGGCGGUUCAGAUACUCGGUCAACGUGAUGGGUUCGCAUCGAGGCGCAGCACGGGAAAACACACAUCUCAAAGGGCAGAGGAACUGGACGAAUUCCCGCACACAGCUCAGCUGACACCUUGUCUGGAUGGAACCAGGGCGUUUAGCCCUGACAUAUAAGAUAGCCUGGUUGGCUGUCAUCCUGGUGGUGUAGGCCAAGAAACAUGCCAAAAGGACACCUAUGGGGAAAGGAGACAAGUUUCACUGUGAGACGAGGCGCUAGGUCAAACUGUCUUGGAACAUUCCUGGUGGAAGUCUACCUGUUCUUCCAAGACCGGCAUGGCAGUGGACAGAUACUUUUCCCUCCUGUAGUGAAAAGGCCAUGACCUUUAAUAUGUCCAGCACGGUAGUAAGGUUGGCUACUCCGUAGUCACUCCAGCCAAAGUUGUAGAAAUAAACUGAGAAAAAGCAUACAUGUGAAUAUCACUAUAAGCUAACCUAAAUACCAUUGCAAAUUUCCCCACUGAGGGAUGAAUAUCUUAUCUUAUCUUAUCUUAGAAGCACUGACCAACAGUAUAUUUACACCUUAAAUUCUAGUAUUUCUUCCAUGAAAUUAUAUUGAUUUAUUCCCAACAGACUUCAGUACUUGUAAAGAUUUUUGUUGUCCAAUGAGAUUUCAGCUUCUACAUAUUGCCAUGUUAAUGUAAUCUACCCUGGGCCUUCAGAAUCAGUAGUGCUGGCCCAUGUCACAUUCGAACUAUUAGCAAUGAGGCUGUUUUUUUAACCAAUGAUUUGUUCAUUCAGAAUUCUAUUCCCUAACUCUCAAAAUUACCAGUAUGGUUUGAAUGCAUCAUUAUAAACAGAGCUUGUUCCAGCAUGAAGAAAAGAAACAACAGAGUUCUGAGUGCAUUAUAUGAACCAAUAACUUAUAAAUAUAUUUGAAGUAGUAGUA